CCGAGAUCUACACGUAAGGAGUCGUCGGCAGCGUCAGAUGUGUAUAAGAGACAGGUAUGGGAGUGAGAAUGUUGGCAUGAGUAGCGAGAUGUGGGUGAGAAUCCCACAGGCCGUAAACCCAAGGUUUCCAGGGGAAGGUUCGUCCGCCCUGGGUUAGUCGGGACCUAAGCUGAGGCCGAAAGGCGUAGGUGAUGGACAACAGGUUGAUAUUCCUGUACUACCGAUAACCGUUUGAGAGAAGGGAUGACACAGUAGGAUAAGCUAAGCACACUGUUGGUUAUGUGUGCCCAAGCAUUGAGGCAGUCAAAGUAGGCAAAUCCGCUUUGAUAAUGCUGGGAUGUGAUGGGGAGCGAAAUUUAGUAGCGAAGUAGCUGAUUUCACACUGUCAAGAAAAGUCUCUAUCGAGGUUAAAGGUACCCGUACCGCAAACCGACACAGGUGGGUGAGGAGAGUAUCCUAAGGCCAGCGAGAGAACUGUUGUUAAGGAACUCGGCAAAAUGACCCCGUAACUUAGGGAUAAGGGGUGCCACCAUCAGGUGGCCGCAGAGAAUAGGCCCAAGCGACUGUUUACCAAAAACAUAGGUUUCUGCUAAGUCGCAAGACGAUGUAUAGGAGCUGACGCCUGCCCGGUGCUGGAAGGUUAAGGGGAUCUGUUAGAGCAAUCGAAGCAGUGAACUUAAGCCCCAGUAAACGGCGGCCGUAACUAUAACGGUCCUAAGGUAGCGAAAUUCCUUGUCGGGUAAGUUCCGACCCGCACGAAAGGCGUAACGAUUUGGGCACUGUCUCAACAACAGACUCGGUGAAAUUGUAAUUCCGGUGAAGAUGCCGGAUACCUGCGACAGGACGGAAAGACCCCAUGGAGCUUUACUGUAGCUUGACAUUGGGUCUUGGUACUACAUGUACAGGAUAGGUGGGAGGCUUUGAAACCAGGACGCCAGUUUUGGCGGAGCCAUCCUUGGGAUACCACCCUUGUAGUACUGGGACUCUAACCAUAGGCCAUGAAUCUGGUCUUGGGACACUGUCAGGUGGGCAGUUUGACUGGGGCGGUCGCCUCCCAAAAGGUAACGGAGGCGCUCAAAGGUUCUCUCAGUACGGUCGGAAAUCGUACGUAGAGUGUAAAGGCAAAAGAGAGCUUGAUUGCAAGACAUACAGGUCGAGCAAGGAUGAAAAUCGGACUUAGUGAUCCGGUGGUUCUGCGUGGAAGGGCCAUCGCUCAACGGAUAAAAGCUACCCUGGGGAUAACAGGCUUAUCUCCCCCAAGAGUCCACAUCGACGGGGAGGUUUGGCACCUCGAUGUCGGCUCAUCACAUCCUGGGGCUGUAGUAGGUCCCAAGGGUUGGGCUGUUCGCCCAUUAAAGUGGUACGCGAGCUGGGUUCAGAACGUCGUGAGACAGUUCGGUCCCUAUCCGUCGCAGGCGUAGGAAAUUUGAGAAGACCUGUCCUUAGUACGAGAGGACCGGGAUGGACGUACCUCUGGUGUACCAGUUG
rnacentral:rRNA from 1 species